ACGGGAGGCAGCAGUGAGGAAUAUUGGUCAAUGGACGGAAGUCUGAACCAGCCAAGUCGCGUGCGGGAUGAAGGCCCUACGGGUCGUAAACCGCCUUUGUACGGGGAUAAAGUCACCCACGUGUGGGUGUUUGUAGGUACCGUAAGAAUAAGGAUCGGCUAACUCCGUGCCAGCAGCCGCGGUAAUACGGAGGAUCCGAGCGUUAUCCGGAUUUAUUGGGUUUAAAGGGUGCGCAGGCGGGCUGCUAAGUCUCCGGUGAAAUGUCAGGGCUCAACCUUGGCACUGCCGGAGAUACUGGCGGCCUUGAGAGUGGCGGAGGUAUCCGGAAUGUGUGGUGUAGCGGUGAAAUGCAUAGAUAUUCCACAGAACACCGAUUGCGAAGGCAGCCUACGAAUGCGUAACUGACGCUCAUGCACGAAAGCGCGGGUAGCGAACAGGAUUAGAUACCCUGGUA
rnacentral:rRNA from 1 species